GCGCCCACCACCAUGCCCGGCUACUUUUUGUAUUUUUAGCAGAGACGGGGUUUCACCAUGUUGGCCAGGCUGGUCUCAAACUCCUGACCUCAGGUGAUCCACCCGUCUUGGCCUCCCAAAGUGCUAAGAUUACAGGCGUGAGCCACCGUGCCCCACCAAAGGUGGUGUUUCAAAUUAGCAAAGACAGUUCAAUAAAUGAUGUGGGGACUGACAACUGUUUCAGGACAGGAAUAAAAUGAUCUUGGUCUAUACUUCAGUCCUUAUACCCAAAUGAACUACAAGGGAAUUAAAACUUUAAACAUUAGGAAGAUAGAAGAAAACAUGGAAUGAGGAGGCAAGGUACUGUAUAAGCUCCAGAAACUAUAAAGGAAAUGACGGAUGAACGUGACUAUGUAAAAAUAAAAACAAAAAAUCCUUCUACAUGGCAAAUAAAAUAAAUAGCGAAGUCAAAAUGCAACUGAUAUACCAAGAAAAGCUAUUUGUGAUUUGGGGGUGAUGAAAGAUUGAUUUCUUUCAUCCAGAGCCCAUAUGCAAAUCAAUCAGGAAAAGGCAAACAGACCAAAAGAAAAAUGCGCAAAGGCUACAGUCUGCUUUACAGAAAAAUAAAUGCAAAUGGACAAAGAACAUGAACCUAUACUCAACUGCAGCCAUAAUUAAAGAGAUACAAAUUAAGACAACACUGAAAAGCAUUUUUUUUUUUUCUGAGACUGAGUCUUACUUUGUCGCCAAGGCUGGAGUGCAGUGGCUCGAUCUUGGCUCACUGCAACCUCUGCUGCCCGGGUUCAAGUGAUUCUCCUGCCUCAGCCUCCCAAGUAGCUGAGAUUACAGGCACCUGCCACCGUGCAUGGCUAAUUUUUGUAUUUUUAGUAGAGACGGGGUUUCGCUAUCUUGGUCAGGCUGGUCUCGAACUCCUGACCUCAUGAUCCACUCGCCUCAGCCUCCUAAAGUGCUGGGAUUACAGGCGUGAGCCACCGCGCCCAGCCGAAAAGCAAUAUUGUUCAUCUGUUGGAUCUACAAGCAUAUUAAAGGGUGAUGCCUAGUGCUGGCUAAGAUGUAGGUAAACACAGUUAUAGUAAAUUGAUAAAGUCUUGCUGGAGGACAUUUGGCUGUAGCUAGUAAAAUAGAAGAAAUGUGUGAUAAUGCAUAGUAAUAGCAAAACUUAUGAAAUAACACACAACAGUAAUUAUAUAUAUAUAUAUAUAUAAAAAACAAUAAAAAAAGAUACAUAUUAUUUGACCUGGUAAUUCCACUGCUAGGAAUUCAUUCUCCAGAUAACCUGCAAAGGCUUGCCAAUAUGCACAUCCUGUGAGUGUGUUUAGAUGAGAGAGCUCUUGGCAAGGCUCAGUUGGUGGAGUCCCACUGUGACCCUCAGCUGACUAUGCUGUGUUAGUAAGACAGUGUGUAUAGAACAAUAACUAUGGUUAAGUGAAACCUCUGCUUGUUUUUCUUUUUGUUUUUUGUUUGAGAGGGAACCUCACUCUGUCGCCCAGGCUGGAGUGCAGUGGUGCGAUCUUGGCUCACUGCAGCCUCUGCCUCCAGGGUUCAGGCAAUUUUCCUGCCUCAGGCUUCCGAGUAGCUGGGAUUGCAGGCACGCACCACCUAGCCCCGGUUAAUUUUUGUAUUUUUUUAGUAGAGACGUGGUUACACCAUAUUGGCUAGGCUGGUCUUAAACUCCUGACCUCGAGUGAUCCGCCUGCUUUGGCCUCCCAAAGUGCUGGGAAUACAGGCGUGAGGCACCGCGCCCGACCUUCUGCUUAGUUUUCUAUAUUGAUCAUGUACCACUUUAGCUUAUGGAAUUGUGGCAAUACAAUUUCAGUUUGUACAUCUACUUUGAUUUGCUAUUUCUGCAUUCUUGUUUUAGCACUGUAUUAUAGGUAGUUUUUUCAAAAUUCAUGCCAACAUAAAUAGCUUCAUCCCCACGAGAUGAUCAGUGCAAAAGUUUGCAAUUACUCCUGUCACUUUUUUUUUUUUUUUUUUGAUGGAGUCUCGCACUGUUGCCCAGGCUGGAUGUAGUGGCAUGAUCUCAGCUCACUGCAAGCUCUGCCUCCCGGGUUCAUGCCAUUCUCCUACCUCAGCCUCCCUAGUAGCUGGGACUACAGGCGCCCGCCACCAUGCCCAGCUAAUUUUUUGUAUUUGUAGUAGAGACGGGGUUUCACUGUGUUAGCCAGGAUGAUCUUGAUCUGCUGACCUCGUGAUCCGCCCGCCUCGGCCUCCCAAAGUGCUGGGAUUACAGGCGUGAGCCACCGCACCCGGCCUCUCCUGUCACUUUUAAAAAAGUUACUCCUCAUAUCUAUUGGCUGAGGAGAUGGAAGUGUUUCUGGGGAUUUGAGAUGCUAAGAUGAAGAUGUUUUAGGCCCACGGCCAUGGCACCUACUUUUGUUCUAUUCAGCCUACUGAGAGGUGACAGCGUGCUGGCAGCCCUCACAGCCCUCCCUCGCUCUCAGCACCUCCUCUGCCUGGGCUCCCACUUUGGCAGCACUUGAGGAGCCCUUCAACCUGCUGCUGCACUGUGGGAGCCCCUUCCUGCACUGGCUGAGGCAGGAGCCAGAUCCCUCAGCUUGCGGGGAGGUGUGGAGGGAGAGGUGCGGGCAGGAACCGGGGCAGCAUGAGUUCUGGGUGGGCGUGGGCUCGGUGGGCUGCACACUCAGAGUGCCAGCUGGCUCCGCCGGCCCGGGGCAGUGAGGGGCUUAGCACCUGGGCCAGCAGCUGCUGUGCUUGACUUCUCACCGGGCCUUAGCUGCCUCCCUGUGGGGCAGGGCUCGGGACCUGCAGCCCGCCAUGCCUGAGCCUCCCCCCGCCAUGGGCUCCUGCACUGCCGGAGCCUCCCCAACGAGCGCCACCCCUGCUCCAUGGCACCCAGUCCCAUCGACCACCCAACGGCUGAGGAGUGCGAGUGCAUGGCGCGGGACUGGCAGGCAGCUCCACCUGUGGCCCCGGUGCGGGAUCCACGGGGUGAAGCCAGCUGGGCUUGAGUCUGGCAGGGACUUGGAGAACCUUUAUGUCUAGCUAAGGGAUUGUAAAUACACCAAUUAGCACUCUGUAUCUAGCUCAAGGCUUGUUAAACACACCAAUCAGCACCCUGUGUCUAGCUCAGGGUUUGUGAAUGCACCAAUGGACACUCUGUAUCUAGCUUCUCUGGUGGGGACUUGGAGAACCUUUAUGUCUAGCUAAGGGAUUGUAAAUAUACCAAUUGGCACUCUGUAUCUAGCUCAAGGUUUGUAAACACACCAAUCAGCACCCUGUGUCUAGCUCAGGGUUUGUGAAUGCACCAAUGGACACUCAGUAUCUAGCUAAUCUAGUGGGGACGUGGAGAACUUUUGAGUCUAGCUCAGGGAUUGUAAAUGCACCAAUCAACACCCUGUCAAAACAGACCAAUCAGCGCUCUGUAAAACAGACCAAUCAGCUCUCAGUAAAAUGGACCAAUCAGCAGGAUGUGGGUGGGGCCAGAUAAGGGACUAAAAGCAGGCUGCCAGACCCAGCAGUGGCAACCGGGUUGGGUUCUCUUCCAGGAUGUGGAAGCUUUGUUCUUUUGCUCUUUGCAAUAAAUCUUGCUGUUACUCUCUUUGGGUCCACACUGCCUUUAUGAGCUGUAACACUCACCGGGAAGGUCUGAAGCUUUACUCUGGAAGCCAGUGAGACCAUGAACCCACUGGGAGGAACGAACGGCUCCAGACACACUGCCUUAAGAGCUGUAACACUAACUGCGAAGGUCUGCAGUUUCAUUCCUGAUCCAGCGAGACCACGAACCCACCAGAAAGAAGAAACUCCGGACACAUCCGAACAUCUAAAAGAAACAAACUCCGGACACGCAGCCUGUAAGAACUGUAACACUCACCGCGAGGGUCCACGGUUUCAUUUUUGAAGUCAGUCUGACCAAGAACCCACCAUUUUUGGACACACUACCCUGCCAGAAAUCCAGAAUUGUCUUUGCUGAUCUCUUUAUUAUGAUGAAAAUUCUCUGGAUGGAAGGGUCAUCAGCUGCCAUCUCCUUUGCUACUCUGCUAGAUAUCCUUACAAUUUGGUUUAGAAUUUUAGUACCACUAACAUUUUUUGGUGCAUAUUUUGGAAAUAAAGAAAAGGUAAACUCUUAAAAUACUGCUUUUGGCCACUGAGCGAUGACUGAAAUAAUACCUCAGUGUAUAUAUUACACAUGAAAUACAAAAAGUCCCACUGGAGAAAACUACAGAGAAUAAUCAUUUUGGAAUAAAAGAUACUUAAAAAAGUUAAGUGAAGGACAGUAACACUUUCAAAGACAUUAAUGCAUUUCCUACAUUAUCAAUUGUUUAUACUGCCUUUUACCUCUGAUGAACCAACUUAAAAGGACAUACUGUAGAAAGGCUGACAUCAGCCAACUCAGGAAACUAAUAGGGUUAUACAGUGGGAUAAGGAAGUCAAGAUGUAGUCCAAGGAAUGGGGCUAUUCGGUUUACAGAUUUGAAGUUAGCCUAUUCCACAUAUCGGAGAAAGGUAUAGGAUACCAAAAAGUCCCAAUGAGGCCACACUGCCAAAAAACUCUUCAAGGAUAUAGCAUGAGAUUGCAGAGGAAAUGUUGGAAAAGACAAAAUGGGAGGUGGAGUUCCACAGAGAGCAGCAAAAAGAAAAUUUUCUGGAAACUAUUGACACAUUCUUAGACAAAUUCUAAGAGAGAACUUUUGGACAUUUUAGAUUAUUUUGCAUUAGAAUAGUCACUGGUAAAUCUUUCCAGUCUCUCCCUUGAAAAUUAUAAAAAAGGAUAAAUAUCCUCAUUGAUUGUUUAGCUGUGUGUCACUUAGUAUGGUGCCACUGGUCGCAUGUGGCUGUUGAGCACCUGAAAUGUGGCUGUCAGAAUUGAGAUGGGCUCUUUGUGGAAAAUACAAACCAGAUUUUGAAUACUUAGAACAACGACAAAGAUAAUAUAAAAUUAUUGAGCAAAUAUUUUACGUUAACACAAGUAUAAAUCAUAAUAUUUGGACAUGUUAGACUAAAUAAAAUAUGAUGUUAAAAUUAAUUCCAUCUGUUUCUUUUUACUUUUUUAAGGGGGGCUACUAAAAAAUUUAGAACUACGCAUGUGGCUUGCAUUAUACUUCCAUUGCACAGCACUGGCCUAGCCCCUGCCCACAUGACUGCUUUUUGUUGUUUUCUUUAUACAAUUGUUGUUUUCUCAAAGCUGCCUUUGAGAAAAAUGCUCCUGUAAAUAUUCCAUGCCCUCUUCAGAUUCAAGAUUCUGUUUUGUGAUAAUAUCUGUAUAGAUGUUUUUCAGUUUCAUUUCAUUCUGAUUCUCACUUCAUUUACUUCCGAGCAGAUUAGUUGUCCAGUUCAGACAAACCAGAUCCCCUGUCAGAUUCCUCCAUAGAACUUCUUUACAAAACCACUUCUUGGCGUCAUAAUUGGUGGCAUUUUCCCCUUCGGCUGUAUUUUUACUCAACUCUUUCUCAUUCUGAACAGUAUUUGGAUUAUCAUUGGUGGUGGCGAUUUUUAACCAGAAGCUUUAUAGCUGUUUAUCUUUUUACGUAUGCAGUUCAUUACUUCUCUGCCAAACUUCAAAUCACAGAAAUUUGCAAUUUGAGUUCCCGGGCAAGAUGGCCGAAUAGGAACAGCUCUAGUCUGCAGCUCCCAGCGAGAUCAACACAGAAGGCAGGUGAUUUCUGCAUUUCCAACUGAGGGACAGUUGGAUUUUUUUCCUGUUUCUGGUUAAUUGCUAAAAUCUACAGUGUGCUGAAGGUGGAGUAAAGUAUUUCCCCAAAGGAUUCCAAGCACAUCUCCCUUGCCCUUGAAUAUCUGUAUAUCUAUAUGAACAUCAAUUGAGAUAUAUAUGUGUGUGCCCCUAACUACAUAAUUUUAAGCAUAUAUAUAAAAAUGUAAAAUCUCA